CUGGCGGCGUGCCUAACACAUGCAAGUCGAGCGAUUAACUUCGGUAAAGAGCGGCGGACGGGUGAGUAACGCGUGGGUAACCUGCCUCAUACACAUGGAUAACAUACCGAAAGGUAUGCUAAUACAGGAUAAUAUAAGAGAUUCACAUGGAUUUCUUAUCAAAGCUCCGGCGGUAUGAGAUGGACCCGCGUCUGAUUAGCUAGUUGGUAAGGUAAUGGCUUACCAAGGCGACGAUCAGUAGCCGACCUGAGAGGGUGAUCGGCCACAUUGGAACUGAGACACGGUCCAAACUCCUACGGGAGGCAGCAGUGGGGAAUAUUGCACAAUGGGCGAAAGCCUGAUGCAGCAACGCCGCGUGAGUGAUGAAGGCCUUCGGGUCGUAAAACUCUGUCCUCAAGGAAGAUAAUGACGGUACUUGAGGAGGAAGCCCCGGCUAACUACGUGCCAGCCGCCGC
rnacentral:rRNA from 1 species